rnacentral:rRNA from 1 species
CUGCCGGCGACCGGCGCACGGGUGAGUAACACGUAUGCAACCUGCCCUCUUCAGGGGGACAACCUUCCGAAAGGGAGGCUAAUCCCGCGUAUAUCGGUUUCGGGCAUCCGAGAUCGAGGAAAGAUUCAUCGGAAGAGGAUGGGCAUGCGGCGCAUUAGCUAGACGGCGGGGUAACGGCCCACCGUGGCGACGAUGCGUAGGGGUUCUGAGAGGAAGGUCCCCCACAUUGGAACUGAGACACGGUCCAAACUCCUACGGGAGGCAGCAG